CGGUCGGCAGUCAUACGCUCAGCGUGAAUGGCGUUACGCUGAAGAUAAUGACGGGCGACGUGAGGAGCCGCCCGAGUUUUAUUUGCGGGCCCACACGAGACGAGAUGGGACGGUGCAGGACGCAGUCCGGCCCAUUUAUGAGUGGCUUCUUGAUACCCACCAAAGACUUUCCCAAGUGCCCAAUACCCCGCCUACGCAGACAUCUUUGACCCAUUCUGAUUCAGGGUGGGAUUGAUCCUCGAACAAGUUUCGUUUCUCGGGAUAACGACAGGACUGAGACGCCUUGUACAUACUGUGUCUGGCGGGCUGCGCAUGUGGGGGUUUGUUCAAAUCUGGUACCUUGUAUUCCCUCGGUCGACUAGACUUGGAUUUUCGAAGCCCAGGUGGGUUUUUGUUAAGAUCAGGCACCUAGGGCAUUAGUUAGAAUUAGUGUCCUAAACUGAGGUAGUUAUAUAUACUGUAUUUAUUGAAUUACACAAAUAUUUUUUUUGAUGUAUUAUGUAUACCU